rnacentral:rRNA from 1 species
GACCUAUUGGAGGGCAAGUCUGGUGCCAGCAGCCGCGGUAAUUCCAGCUCCAAUAGCGUAUAUUAAAGUUGUUGCGGUUAAAACGUUCGUAGUUGAACUUGUGCUUCAUACGGGUGGUACUCCUAAAAUUUGGGUUAGUACAUUACCUUAUUGUAUGUAAGCGUAUUACCGGUGGAGUUCUUAUAUAUUAUAUAAUUAUUUAUAUAAUAUAUUCCUCCUAUAUAAACCUGAUUCAAUGCUCUUUACCGAGUGUUGUUUUGGGCCGGUACAAUUACUUUGAACAAAUUAGAGUGCUUAAAGCAGGCUCUUAAUGCCUGAAUAUUCUGUGCAUGGAAUAAUGGAAUAAGACCUCUGUUCUAAUUUCAUUGGUUUUUAGAUCAAGAGGUAAUGAUUAAUAGAAGCAGUUGGGGGCAUUAGUAUUACGACGCGAGAGGUGAAAUUCUUGGACCGUCGUAAGACUAACUUAAGCGAAAGCAUUUGCCAAAGAUGUUUUCAUUAAUCAAGAACGAAAGUUAGAGGUUCGAAGGCGAUCAGAUACCGCCCUAGUUCUAACCAUAAACGAUGCCAGCCAGCAAUUGGGUGUAGCUACUUUUAUGGCUCUCUCAGUAGCUUCCCGGGAAACCAAAGCUUUUGGGCUCCGGGGGAAGUAUGGUUGCAAAGCUGAAACUUAAAGGAAUUGACGGAAGGGC